rnacentral:rRNA from 1 species
UGCGUAGGCGGGAUAAUAAGUCAGUGGUGAAAGCCUGCAGCUUAACUGUAGAAUUGCCAUUGAUACUGUUGUCCUUGAGUAUAGUUGAGGUGGGCGGAAUGUGUCAUGUAGCGGUGAAAUGCUUAGAUAUGACACAGAACACCGAUUGCGUAGGCAGCUCACUAAACUAUCACUGACGCUGAGGCACGAAAGCGUGGGGAGCGAACAGGAUUAGAUACCCUGGUAGUCC